rnacentral:rRNA from 1 species
AGUGAACGCUGGCGGUAGGCCUAACACAUGCAAGUCGAACGGCAGCACAGUAAGAGCUUGCUCUUACGGGUGACGAGUGGCGGACGGGUGAGGAAUACAUCGGAAUCUACUUUUUCGUGGGGGAUAACGUAGGGAAACUUACGCUAAUACCGCAUACGACCUACGGGUGAAAGCAGGGGAUCUUCGGACCUUGCGCGAUUGAAUGAGCCGAUGGCGGAUUAGCUAGUUGGCGGGGUAAAGGCCCACCAAGGCGACGAUCCGUAGCUGGUCUGAGAGGAUGAUCAGCCACACUGGAACUGAGACACGGUCCAGACUCCUACGGGAGGCAGCAGUGGGGAAUAUUGGACAAUGGGCGCAAGCCUGAUCCAGCCAUACCGCGUGGGUGAAGAAGGCCUUCGGGUUGUAAAGCCCUUUUGUUGGGAAAGAAAAGCAGCAGGUUAAUACCCCGCUGUUCUGACGGUACCCAAAGAAUAAGCACCGGCUAACUUCGUG